CUGAAAGCAGAUAACAUAAAAGAAGGAUUUUGCAUUUUUAUCAUGUUAUAAUUUUUAUAAGCAUUUUGAAUAGUACAAAUAAAUAAAGGAGAAUAGUUAUGCCGACCAAAAAAAAAAAAGAAUAUUUGAAGGUUUUAUUUUAAAUCACUCCGUCAUGGGGAUUUAAUUUGUAACCCGCACGACCGUACGGGGUUUUUUUAAUACAAAAAUAGUUUAGUUUAUCAAUACUAUUAAAAGAGAAAGAGUUUAAAUAAAUCUACUUUAAAAGGUUGUUUGGAUCCUUUACUUUUAUUAUGUUUUUGUCUAACUCUAUAUAUUAUAACAGCAUGUAUCUACCUUUGUAACCCCAAAAAAUCGUAAAGAAUAUAUUUAGAAUAUGCUAUAUUGACAUAUUUUGUCGUAAUCUUAUAUAUAUAAAGUUGAAUUGUGCUCUGAGCACAGCCUCCCACGUCAUCAGGUAGAUUGAGGCAUUUUUGGACACUUGGCGUCUCGGUAGGGUGUCCGUGUUUCUCACGCUCUUUCUUCCUUCUCGCUCUCACGCUCUCUCUUCCUCCUUGCGCGUGGCUUUUAGUUUAAUUAUGUAUUUUUGAUUUUCCUUUUAAUCCAACAAGCUACUUAUUAGUUUAUUUAAUUUCCCUUCUCUUUCCACGAUUUGGGCAUGGAAGCGAUGGAAACAGCAAUUCCCCCCCCCCUCCCACCUCUCCGAACAAAGCUUUGAGUUUCACGGGGGUUCAUGGCACCAGAUCUUUUGGUUCUCUCAAAGGUAAAGGUUCUUCAUGGACUUCGUUUAAAUCGAGUUAGAAUGGGUACAAAAUGGAUUGGGAAGGGACAUGACUAGAUUUGAGGUGAGAUGCGAUUCAGAGUAUUGGUUAUAAUUACGACUAUCGAAUGGUAAAGGAGAUCGAGUUAGCUGAUGCAAUUGACGAUGAUAUAAUAACAUAAUCCAUUUAAAGACUGUUCAGUCUCUACGGUUCUAUAUCUUUGUACUUUCUUCCUUUUGACGUGUAUUUCUGUCUGUGGAUAUGUGAUAUGUGAUAUGUGAUAUUGAUGUUUUGUUAUUUAGUAGUAGGUUAUGAGCUUAAGAUGCUGAUUUUGCUUAGGGCAAGAAUGUCUUCAGGGAUGAUUGCCGAGAGAAAUCAAGUUUUGCAGAAAAAUAAGUGUGGUAAGAGAUGCCAUAACGUCAUAUCUUUCGACUUUAUGCCGUUAACAGAAAACACCUGAAAUCAACUUGGUGUACUUAUAUCACACCUCGUGGAAGAGAAACAUGUUGCUGUGUUUUACUGGCCGGCCAAAGACGAGUGAAUCUGUACCGAUCAUUGGCAGUGGGAACAUUUAUUUUACUUGAAUCAUGAUCUAAUAAGUACGCGAAGGGAUCCCUAUCCCUCGGCUUAAUCUUCACAACCUUUGAAAGAAAAAAUAUCAGAUUUUUCUCACUUUUGUCAGUUUCCUCUCCAAAUGGGAUGUUAAAAUAAAAAGAAAGUAAAAUAUUUAAUAAGAAUAUACUUAUUUAGUUGAAUUAAAAAAUUUAUAAAAAAAUUUAGAGCCAAUAGCAUUAUAUCUUCUUACGGUAUCUAAACAAUAGUUAAAAAUGUGCUCUCUCUCAAUAUUUUUCUUAAUUCUUUAAAUCGUUGAGAUGUCUAACGAUGGAAAAGCUCUUAGAAUACCCUAGUCGGAGCAGAAUUUUAAAUAGAGUUCUUAGACAAUUUAUGAUAUUAUUUUAAUGCAAAAAUUUUGGAUGAAAAUGAUUUUUUUUGUCAGAAAUUCAAAUAAUGUAAAUAAUCUUUCCUAACGAUAAUUGAAUUCUAAUGGAGGAAAAACUGUAAAUUUUAAUGUAAUUUGUUAUGUAAUUAGUUUUUAUAUAUAAUAAGUUAACAGAAGAAUAACACAUGUAGCUUUUUUUAUAAACUAUAGCACUAAGCUUAACCAUUUCAAUAGAAAACUGAACUUCUAUAUUCUACGGUCAAAUAAAAUAUUGAUCCAAUAAAACCAAAACUUACAUAUCUUAAUAUGUUUUAAUCAAUCAAAAUUAAUUUACAAGAAUAUUUCUGAAAAAUUCAAAUAUAUAUCAAAGAACACUUUAAAUCUAUGUAGUGAAGUGUAUAUUAGAAUACCUUACCAUCAACAACUAUAUAUAUAUAUAUAUAGGCCUGGGCAUUCGGGGUCCCAAUUGUGUUUCGGUUUUUCGGGUUUAUCAAAAUAAGCCUCAUUCGGGUUAUAUGAAAAUUCGGUUCGGGAUCGGUUCGGAUUCUAUCGGGUUCGGGUCGGGUUUAGUAAAUCUCCAAAGAACCGGUACAACCCGCUGUACUUUCGGGUUCGGGUCCCAAUCGGUACUUUGUAACCAAAAAGUAAGUAAAAUUGGUUACUUGGUUUUAAAAUACUUGAUUUGUACCUAUUUUGUAACCAAAACAUAAAUAAAGUCGGUUCAAAAAAAAGAAAGAAACUUCAAAUGUGAUCAUUCAAAAUCAAGUGAAAGGUAAAGAUAGUUAUUGAUCGAAAGAAAACCAAAUAAAUGAAAGAUAUAAAACGAAAACCAAGUUCUCAUGAAAUGAAAAACAUAAUUCAAUGAAAACAAAAUCCAAAUCUAAAAACUUCAACCUUCAACCACCACCUUCAACCAUCAAUCUUCAUAUAAUAGAUAAUUAUUUUAAAUGUUCAAUAUAUUUUGAAUACAUAUUAGGAAUUGAGAUCAUAUUUGGUACAAGUUAUUUUUGGAAAUUUUGAAUGUUUCGGGUUCUAUCAGGUAUCCAUUUAGGUUCGGGUUCGGUUUGGAUAAUACCCAUAACCCGAAAUACCAUAAAACAAGAUCCAUUCGGUAUUAAUGUCGGGUUCGGAUCGGUUCGGAUUCAUUUUUAUCGGAUCGGGUUCGGUUCGGUUUUUUCGGGUUCGGUUUAUUUACCCAGCCCAAUAUAUAUAUAUAUAUAUAUAUAUAUAUAUAUAUAUAUAUAUAUAUAUAUAUAUAAAAUCAAUGUCAUAUUUCAAUACAUUUUAUUAUUAAGUUAUGGAAAAAUAUCAAAGAAAGUCUAUAGAUAAUGAUUUUGAGAUAAUAUAAAAUAUGAACGAUUAAUUUUAAAAUGGUUUAAGUUUGCACCAGUUAAACUUAAUUUUUAUAAUAUUAAAAUCAUUACCUCAAUGACAUGCUAUUUUUUGUAUAAAUUAGUUCCGGUUUGUUUGUUUUUAGGGUUCACUGAAUUUUGAUUUGGACUUCAAUCCUAAUAAACGCUUAGUUAUAAAUUAAAACUAUUACAAAAAAAUAUUUAGUAAAAUAUGCUUAUAGUUUUUGAAGUUAAGACUAAUAAAACUCACGAGUUAAAAAAUGCUAGAUUAACUAAAGAUAAUGUGAUUGUCAAUAUUAAGUAACAAGAUUUGAAUAAGAACUCAUAAUCACAGAUAAAAAUACAUACACAUAUACCACCAUGAAAAUUAAAACUUUAACAUACAACUAAAUAAUAUCGAAGAGGAAAAAGAAUAUCUGGAUUAUCCUUGGAAAAUAAUCAAUUCAGUUAUUGCAUUUGGACCACGAUUAAGAAUUCACUUAUUGGAUUUAAUAUCAUUUUGAAGACAAGGUAUUUAACAAAUACGUUCAUAGUAAAACCCCUGACAAAUUGUCACAUUCAUAACAUAGAUAAAGUAUGUGAGAUUAUUAUUAUUUUAAGAGGAUGAACAAACAACUACAUUUAUAUGUUUCAUUUUGAAACAUCGUUAAAUUAUAUUUACUUUAGUGCAACUAUCAAUUAUUUAUUAUAUUUUAUUUCAUUAAUUUAUAAAAUCUAUUUAUGCUAUUCAUCUUUGACCUAAGCAACUAUAAAACAAAGUAAUACACUAUUAAUUAUCACUAUCAAAUGGAUCAAAAACUCAUUAUCCAAUCAUUAAGAAACAAAAUAUACAAACCCGGCGCGUAGCGCCGGAAUACCACUAGUAUAUAAUAAAUUUGAAGUAAAUGGCUGUAUUAUCUCACCAUCGCACCUCUUAUAUAACCACACGUCACAAAAAUAUUCAAGAACAUCACAUUACAUCACAAAAGCCGAGGCUCAGAGACAGGGAAACAAAAAAUGCGAAAGUGGUUCAUAUCCUGGUUUUUAAAGUCAUUGCAAUCCUCAUCGCCUACUCAUGAUAAUGUUUUAUAUUUUUACAUGGUUGGACUAUGGGACUAUGUGUUUAUGUACAUGGCUUAUAUGUUUACUUUCAUUAUAUAUUCAGAUUUCGUAUUAUGGGUUUCUUAUAUGUUUCAGUUCUCCACAAAACAAAAAGAUUUGACCACGACCACAAAAAACAACCAGUUUAUGGUUUGGAUG